GGAGUACCCUCGAAAGAGAUUUCGGUCAAUGGAGAGGACUACUUAGUGGCGGACGGGUGAGUAACGCGUGAGGAACCUGCCUUUCAGAGGGGGACAACAGUUGGAAACGACCGCUAAUACCGCAUAAGCCAACAGGGGCGCAUGCUCUGGUUGGAAAAGAUUUAUCGGUGUGAGAUGGACCCGCGUCUGAUUAGCCAGUUGGCAGGGUAACGGCCUACCAAAGCGACGAUCAGUAGCCGGCCUGAGAGGGUGAACGGCCACAUUGGGACUGAGACACGGCCCAAACUCCUACGGGAGGCAGCAGUGGGGAAUAUUGCACAAUGGGGGAAACCCUGAUGCAGCGACGCCGCGUGAGUGAAGAAGUAUUUCGGUAUGUAAAGCUCUAUCAGCAGGGAAGAAAAUGACGGUACCUGACUAAGAAGCCCCGGCUAACUACGUGCCAGCAGCCGCGGUAAUACGUAGGGGGCAAGCGUUAUCCGGAUUUACUGGGUGUAAAGGGAGCGUAGACGGCGAUGCAAGUCUGAAGUGAAAGGCGGGGGCCCAACCCCCGGACUGCUUUGGAAACUGUAUGGCUGGAGUGCAGGAGAGGUAAGUGGAAUUCCUAGUGUAGCGGUGAAAUGCGUAGAUAUUAGGAGGAACACCAGUGGCGAAGGCGGCUUACUGGACUGUAACUGACGUUGAGGCUCGAAAGCGUGGGGAGCAAACAGGAUUAGAUACCCUGGUAGUCCACGCCGUAAACGAUGAUCACCAGGUGUCGGUGGGUAUGGACCCAUCGGUGCCGCAGCAAACGCAGUAAGUGAUCCACCUGGGGAGUACGUU
rnacentral:rRNA from 1 species